rnacentral:rRNA from 1 species
AGUGAACGCUGGCGGCAUGCCUAACACAUGCAAGUCGAACGGCAGCACAGCAGUAGCAAUACUGUGGGUGGCGAGUGGCGGACGGGUGAGGAACACAUCGGAAUUUGCCCAGUCGUGGGGGAUAACGUAGGGAAACUUACGCUAAUACCGCAUACGACCUAACGGUGAAAGCGGGGGAUCGCAAGACCUCGCGCGGAUGGAUAAGCCGAUGUCGGAUUAGCUAGUUGGCGGGGUAAAGGCCCACCAAGGCGACGAUCCGUAGCUGGUCUGAGAGGAUGAUCAGCCACACUGGGACUGAGACACGGCCCAGACUCCUACGGGAGGCAGCAGUGGGGAAUAUUGGACAAUGGGGGCAACCCUGAUCCAGCAAUGCCGCGUGUGUGAAGAAGGCCUUCGGGUUGUAAGCACUUUAUCGGAACGGAACAUUAGUCGUGAUAUCCGGCAAGACUGACGGUACCCGACGGAAUAAGCACCGGCGUAACUUCGUGCCAGCAGCCG